AGAGCACCACAGCUAGCCAGAUUCCCUUAGGGGAGCCCCCCAACCUAGAGGAACGGAGGCGGCAGUCCACUAGAAUACCAAUUUUUAUAUACAAAAUGGA